CUCUCUCUCCUUUCUUCUCUUUUCCUCGCGCAGACCUACUCAAACCCUCUCUUUCCCUUCACUCCCUCUCUUAGCCUUCUCUCUCCCUCUCUACCUCUCCGGCGAAUGUCGCCGGCUCUUGCCACUUUCGGCGCGGCGAGGCUGACGCAUCUUCUCCCCUUCUGCUUUCUUCCCUCUCCUUCCUACAUUUAAUUCCCCAAAUUCUAAAAUCAAUUCAACCUAGGGUUUUCAAUCUCCCCCAUCAAUUUUACUCCUCUGGAGAAUCCCGACGAAUAACGUCGCCGCCGCCCCAGCUCGUUGGAUUUCCGCUCCUCCGUCGUUCUUCCUGCCUCAGGUAAGUCCCCUAUCUCUCUUCUUCUCUCUAUAUCCUCCCUCCCAGUCUCUCACUCUGCCCCUCUCGAUCUCUCUUUCUCUGCCCUGUUCGCGGCGGCCGCCGUGAGCUGUGGCUGCAUAGCAGCGCCGGCGCCGCCCUUACUCCUCCUUUCUUCCUCAUUUGCUCUUUCUCCCCCCCUUCGUCUCUCUCGUCUGUCUCUAUGUCUCUGUAUCUAUCUCUCUGUUGCCAGCCACCGUGGGCCGCCGUAGCGCGGGCAGCGCCGGCGGUCGUCGCCAUCAGCUGCGUCCCGCCGUGGUGGCUCGCGGCUGCCGCUGCUACCGUCCCUGUUCUUCUUUCCCUUUUAUCCAUCUAAUUCUCAGAUUUUUAAUUCCUCAAACUAAUAAGUCUCAAACUAUUUCCCAUUUCAGGAAUCGAUGAUUCACGAUGAUUCAAGGGAUCUCCAGUUCGUCUACUGCUCAAGAUCCAAUUUUUAUAUGUUACAAAACCUAUUUUCUUUUAUUGCUUAUUGUAACACUGAGAUUUUGAUGGUGAGGAAACAAUACUGUAUCGUUACUAUGCUUAUGUGUAGCUAUGUCUUUUCUGCUGUUCUUGAUUGUUCCUUUUAUACACAAGGAAUUGAUUGAAUUGUAUACAAGAAAACUACCUGCUUUGCUUGAUGCUGCUGCUGGGGGAAUGAUUAUGGUUGAGUUAUAUUUGGGAUGGCUGGUGUAUUUAAGAUUUGCAAAAAUGAGUAAAGGAUUUGCUGAACAAAAAAAAUCGUCAGACAUGAGAGAAAAGAGAUUUUAUACUGGUUUGGAGUCGGUUAUUGAGUAGCUGCGUCAAAGUCGAAGGCUACGUGCCAGAUGAGGAAAUACUCUGGAGUUAAUAAAUCUCACUAUCUAAUUUGGAGUUAAUAAUCAAUCAACUAAUCAUAUACCUAAAUUGGGCUCGGUUACUCCAGCCCAAAUAUAACUAUUGGGCUUUCUACUUUUACACCACUCUUGGCCCAUUUAUUCUUAAUUGUUGGACUUUUUACAUAAAAUCCCAUCAGACCUUAAAACCAUGAAAUACUUGGGCCUCUUCCAUAUACCUACAUAACCUUUGGCCCAAAUAAUAAAG
rnacentral:lncRNA from 1 species